rnacentral:tRNA from 1 species
GCCCCUGUGGCGCAGUGGUCAGCGCGCUCCCGUGCGGCGAGAGAGGACCUCGGUUCGAAUCCGAGCAGAAGCA